rnacentral:rRNA from 1 species
UACGGGGGGGCAAGCGUUGUUCGGAAUUACUGGGCGUAAAGGGCUCGUAGGUGGCCAACUAAGUCAGACGUGAAAUCCCUCGGCUUAACCGGGGAACUGCGUCUGAUACUGGUUGGCUUGAGAUUGGGAGAGGGACGCGGAAUUCCAGGUGUAGCGGUGAAAUGCGUAGAUAUCUGGAGGAACACCGGUGGCGAAGGCGGCGUCCUGGACCAACACUGACACUGAGGAGCGAAAGCCAGGGGAGCAAACGGG